GGAGAGGUGGCAGAGCGGUCGAAUGCGGCGGUCUCGAAAACCGUUAUAGGGGCAACUCUAUCGAAGGUUCGAAUCCUUUCCUCUCCGCCA
rnacentral:tRNA from 1 species